CAUGAUUUUUUUGGAAUUUUUAGGGAUGCCAAAAGGAGGUUUUGGCAUUGAUUCAUGGCACCCUUUCUUGGAAAGUCCUAAUUCCUAGUCUAUAAAAGGGGACCCCUCUCUUGGAUGUUCUAUGAUCAAUUCUCUUAUAGAUUUUUUAUUUCUAAAGCCUCUUCUCCUCCUCUUCUCUUCCUCCUAUAGACCUCCUAUCACUUUGGAGUAUCCAAGGUGCUUGUAGAAGAAGAAAGAAAUCAGCUGUUGAAGUUGUUCGCAGACUAGCAUCUUCGAGCCCCUGAUCUAUGCAAGUCUUC
rnacentral:lncRNA from 1 species